rnacentral:rRNA from 1 species
UUAAGCGACUAAGCGUACACGGUGGAUGCCCUGGCAGUCAGAGGCGAUGAAGGACGUGCUAAUCUGCGAUAAGCGUCGGUAAGGUGAUAUGAACCGUUAUAACCGGCGAUUUCCGAAUGGGGAAACCCAGUGUGAUUCGUCACACUAUCAUUAACUGAAUCCAUAGGUUAAUGAGGCGAACCGGGGGAACUGAAACAUCUAAGUACCCCGAGGAAAAGAAAUCAACCGAGAUUCCCCCAGUAGCGGCGAGCGAACGGGGAGCAGCCCAGAGCCUGAAUCAGUGUGUGUGUUAGUGGAAGCGUCUGGAAAGGCGCGCGAUACAGGGUGACAGUCCCGUACACAAAAAUGCACAUACUGUGAGCUCGAUGAGUAGGGCGGGACACGUGGUAUCCUGUCUGAAUAUGGGGGGACCAUCCUCCAAGGCUAAAUACUCCUGACUGACCGAUAGUGAACCAGUACCGUGAGGGAAAGGCGAAAAGAACCCCGGCGAGGGGAGUGAAAAAGAACCUGAAACCGUGUACGUACAAGCAGUGGGAGCACAGAGCAAUCUGUGUGACUGCGUACCUUUUGUAUAAUGGGUCAGCGACUUAUAUUCUGUAGCAAGGUUAACCGAAUAGGGGAGCCGAAGGGAAACCGAGUCUUAACUGGGCGUUAAGUUGCAGGGUAUAGACCCGAAACCCGGUGAUCUAGCCAUGGGCAGGUUGAAGGUUGGGUAACACUAACUGGAGGACCGAACCGACUAAUGUUGAAAAAUUAGCGGAUGACUUGUGGCUGGGGGUGAAAGGCCAAUCAAACCGGGAGAUAGCUGGUUCUCCCCGAAAGCUAUUUAGGUAGCGCCUCGUGAAUUCAUCUCCGGGGGUAGAGCACUGUUUCGGCAAGGGGGUCAUCCCGACUUACCAACCCGAUGCAAACUGCGAAUACCGGAGAAUGUUAUCACGGGAGACACACGGCGGGUGCUAACGUCCGUCGUGAAGAGGGAAACAACCCAGACCGCCAGCUAAGGUCCCAAAGUCAUGGUUAAGUGGGAAACGAUGUGGGAAGGCCCAGACAGCCAGGAUGUUGGCUUAGAAGCAGCCAUCAUUUAAAGAAAGCGUAAUAGCUCACUGGUCGAGUCGGCCUGCGCGGAAGAUGUAACGGGGCUAAACCAUGCACCGAAGCUGCGGCAGCGACGCUUAUGCGUUGUUGGGUAGGGGAGCGUUCUGUAAGCCUGCGAAGGUGUGCUGUGAGGCAUGCUGGAGGUAUCAGAAGUGCGAAUGCUGACAUAAGUAACGAUAAAGCGGGUGAAAAGCCCGCUCGCCGGAAGACCAAGGGUUCCUGUCCAACGUUAAUCGGGGCAGGGUGAGUCGACCCCUAAGGCGAGGCCGAAAGGCGUAGUCGAUGGGAAACAGGUUAAUAUUCCUGUACUUGGUGUUACUGCGAAGGGGGGACGGAGAAGGCUAUGUUGGCCGGGCGACGGUUGUCCCGGUUUAAGCGUGUAGGCUGGUUUUCCAGGCAAAUCCGGAAAAUCAAGGCUGAGGCGUGAUGACGAGGCACUACGGUGCUGAAGCAACAAAUGCCCUGCUUCCAGGAAAAGCCUCUAAGCAUCAGGUAACAUCAAAUCGUACCCCAAACCGACACAGGUGGUCAGGUAGAGAAUACCAAGGCGCUUGAGAGAACUCGGGUGAAGGAACUAGGCAAAAUGGUGCCGUAACUUCGGGAGAAGGCACGCUGAUAUGUAGGUGAAGCGACUUGCUCGUGGAGCUGAAAUCAGUCGAAGAUACCAGCUGGCUGCAACUGUUUAUUAAAAACACAGCACUGUGCAAACACGAAAGUGGACGUAUACGGUGUGACGCCUGCCCGGUGCCGGAAGGUUAAUUGAUGGGGUCAGCGCAAGCGAAGCUCUUGAUCGAAGCCCCGGUAAACGGCGGCCGUAACUAUAACGGUCCUAAGGUAGCGAAAUUCCUUGUCGGGUAAGUUCCGACCUGCACGAAUGGCGUAAUGAUGGCCAGGCUGUCUCCACCCGAGACUCAGUGAAAUUGAACUCGCUGUGAAGAUGCAGUGUACCCGCGGCAAGACGGAAAGACCCCGUGAACCUUUACUAUAGCUUGACACUGAACAUUGAGCCUUGAUGUGUAGGAUAGGUGGGAGGCUUUGAAGUGUGGACGCCAGUCUGCAUGGAGCCGACCUUGAAAUACCACCCUUUAAUGUUUGAUGUUCUAACGUUGACCCGUAAUCCGGGUUGCGGACAGUGUCUGGUGGGUAGUUUGACUGGGGCGGUCUCCUCCUAAAGAGUAACGGAGGAGCACGAAGGUUGGCUAAUCCUGGUCGGACAUCAGGAGGUUAGUGCAAUGGCAUAAGCCAGCUUGACUGCGAGCGUGACGG